rnacentral:rRNA from 1 species
GACGAACGCUGGCGGCGUGCUUAACACAUGCAAGUCGAGCGAUGAAGCACCUUCGGGUGUGGAUUAGCGGCGAACGGGUGAGGAACACGUGAGGAAUCUGCCUUCCACUCUGGGAUAACUCCGGGAAACCGGGGCUAAUACCGGAUAUUUUCAACUGGCGGCAUCGCCGGUUGAAGAAAGUUUUUCGGUGGAAGAUGACCUCGCGGCCUAUCAGCUUGUUGGUGAGGUAAAGGCUCACCAAGGCGACGACGGGUAGCCGGCCUGAGAGGGUGACCGGCCACACUGGGACUGAGACACGGCCCAGACUCCUACGGGAGGCAGCAGUGGGGAAUAUUGGGCAAUGGAGGAAACUCUGACCCAGCGACGCCGCGUGAGGGAUGAAGGCCUUCGGGUUGUAAACCUCUUUCAGCAGGGAAUAAGCGAAAGUGAAGGUACCUGCAGAAGAAGCACCGGCUAACUAUGUGCCAGCCGCCGCCGUAAUAC